rnacentral:rRNA from 1 species
UUGAAAGGGAAACGAUUGAAGUCAGUCGUACCAGCGGGAAAUCAACCUUUCGAGUGGGGGUUUUGGAGUUUUGAAGAGUGUCAAAACCUUUGAGAUUUCAAAAUUUUCGCUCUUUUGGUGUACUUUCUCGUGGGUAGGUUAACAUCGAUUUUGAUCAUCAUAAAAAGAUUGGAGGAAUGUAGCUUCGAUCUUGUAUUGAAGUGUUAUAGCCUUUGGUAAAUGUGAUGAUUAGGAUCGAGGAUUGCAACGAAUACCCUUUUGGGCUAUCCGCCUGAUCUCUGAUACGUGGCCUUGGUAUCGAAAGCGUGCUUAUGGUAUCAAGGUAUUACGGUCAAAAGGUUAGAACGGAUUACAUUCGUUAAGGAGUUGACGUA